UACGGAGGAUCCAAGCGUUAUCCGGAUUUAUUGGGUUUAAAGGGUGCGUAGGCGGAAUGAUAAGUCAGUGGUGAAAGCCUGCAGCUUAAACUGCAGAACUGCCAUUGAUACUGUCAAUCUUGAGUACAUUUUGAUGUGGGCGGAAUGUGUCAUGUAGCGGUGAAAUGCUUAGAUAUGACACAGAACACCGAUUGCGAAGGCAGCUCACAAAACUGUAACUGACGCUGAGGCACGAAAGCGUGGGUAUCAAACAGGG
rnacentral:rRNA from 1 species